UUAAGAUCUCAUCUGUCUUUGUGUCUUUACUGCAGCAUGAGCAGAUGUCAGUGCAGAUGUUUGAUGACAUUCUGAAGAGUUUGAAGGAUGAGAAUGAAGAUGUGUUGAAAGAGCAUGGACUGGAUAAUAGAGAUGUCAUCUUCAUUAAAGAGUUAAUCGAAGGGGCAAAAGAUUCAGAUGAUAAGUGGACAUUCAAGGGCAGAGAUGAAGACAAAUCUUUCCUGUAUGAGAUUGUGGCAAACAAACAGAACGGCAUUGAUGUGGACAAAUGGGACUAUUUCGCACGAGACUGUCAUCACCUUGGCAUUCGUAACAGUUUUGACCAUCAGCGUUUGUUGAAGUUUGCUCGAGUGUG